CCUCUUUUGAAAAAAAAAAAAAAAAAAAAAAAAAAAAGGGGGGGGGGGGGGGGGGGGGGGGGGGGGGGGGGGGGGGGGGGGGGGGGGGGGGGGGGGGGGGGGGGGGGGGGAAAAAAAAAAAAAAAAAAAAAAAAGCAAGAAGAAGAAGAAAAGUAAGUGUGUAUGUGUGUGUGUGCGUAUUCGUGUUCGUGUGUGUGUGUGUGUGUGUGUGUGUGUGUGUGUGACAGAGAGAGGAAGACAGAGAGAGAGGAGGGGGGGACUCACACAGAGUCCUGCUUUCCUGAGCUGAGAGCUGCUGGUUCCCAAGCAGAAAGUAUUAGGAGAAACACGGCUUCUUCUGUCUUUGCUGCAUUUACACAAUGAAAUCACCUCUGUUUUUAUUCCUGCUAACUGGCCGGUUUUGCUUGAAUCCACUCCGAGCCAUGGACGACGGGAACAAAAAAGUACUUAAAAACAGCUAGACGAAAAAAAAAAAAAAAAAAAAAAAAAAAAGUACUUAAAAACAGCUAGACGAAAAAAAAAAAAAAAAAAGAAAAAAAGAGGGAAAGAAAACCCUAACAAACCCAACCACGCUGGGAUGAGGAUUACUCACUUUAGCGCUGCCUGCGGCCGCACGCAGGAGUUACGGUGCCGAGGGGGGCCGGAGCCGCCUUCCCAGUUUGCCCCCGGAUGCCCCGGCAAGCUACGGGAAAAGUCCCUGAGAAGCCCAGCUCUCCGCCGGAUCCCUGCCGCAGCACAUCCCGCCUCGCCUCCUCUCUCUCUCCCGGGCCCUGGCGCCGAGGAAGCAGUCGAGGUCAGCUGCCCUGUUCCCGGGGUCCGGCCGCGGCCGAGCCCGCAGGGUGAUACAGGGUGCCCGGCCGCUCCGCUCCUCCCCGGCGCGCCGUCGGCACCGAAAAGGAAUGGUCCCGGUCCUGAGCCGUGAAAGAUGGCAAAAGGCGUAACAAUAAUGAUAAUAAUAAAAUCUUAGGCUUUUUUUUUCUUUAAUUAUUGUAAUGACUUCACCCCUCAUUUCCUCACUCGCCAGUUCAGUGUAGGCAAGCCAGAUGGGCUGCCCAGACCCUCCCGGGAAAGGGGCAGGUGCGAGUGAGUUAAAUUUUUUUCUGCUUUGCAAAGAAAGAUGACACGUCCUGCCCUUUCAUUUUUCAUCGCCGAAAGAUACCCUCUUCCCUCCCCGCCCUCCCCCUGGCCGAGGGGAGCAGGGAUGCUCUGGGGGUGCGGGCCUCCCCCACCCGUGCUCCGCGGGAGCCGCAGAACCAGGCGGACUGAGACAGCCGGGAAGACACGGUAUUCCUCUCAGCCAGGGAUGCCAAAUGACAGACGUCGAGUCGGGGAGAGUCAACUCCUAUGUUUAAAAUCACGCGAAGACGCUGGUGAAAUGAAAGCAGACGUCUGGAAGUGUGCAGUAGGCACACGCUUAUUUUAUUACUUUUUUUUU
rnacentral:lncRNA from 12 species